rnacentral:rRNA from 1 species
UACGUAGGGGGGCAAGCGUUGUCCGGAUUUAUUGGGCGUAAAGAGCGUGUAGGCGGUUUGGUAGGUCCGCUGUGAAAACUCGAGCUCAACCUCGAGACGCCGGUGGAAACCAUCAGACUAGAGUCCGGAAGAGGAGAGUGGAAUUCCUGGUGUAGCGGUGAAAUGCGCAGAUAUCAGGAAGAACACCCGUGGCUAAGGCGGCUCUCUAGUACGGUACUGACGCUGAGACGCGAAAGCGUGGGGAGCGAACAGG